rnacentral:rRNA from 1 species
UACGUAGGGUGCGAGCGUUGUCCGGAAUUAUUGGGCGUAAAGGGCUCGUAGGCGGUUUGUCGCGUCGGGAGUGAAAGCCCGGGGCUUAACCCCGGGUCUGCAUUCGAUACGGGCUAGCUAGAGUGUGGUAGGGGAGAUCGGAAUUCCAGGUGUAGCGGUGAAAUGCGUAGAUAUCUGGAGGAAUACCGGUGGCGAAGGCGGCAUCCUGGACCAUUACUGACGCUGAGGCGCGAAAGCUAGGGGAGCAAACAGG